AUCUUUACCUACGAUUACAGAUGUGGGCAUCUAUGCAUUUUUCAGUUGAAAUCUAAAGAAUUCGAUUGAUCUUCACUUUCGUGCAUCUUACACAAAUCAACCAAAGUACAUAAUUGUAGAACAAUGCUAUGCAUCAAGCAAAAUGAUAAAUGCUCUGCUUUUUUCCCCUUAAUUUUGAUUUGAGAUUGUUAUGAUUUGCAGAUGCAUGUUCACUAGUGACAUUUAUAUGUAAUUUAUUCUGCAAGUGAGUGCUGCCAUGUUAGAGUUGGUAUGAAUUAUUUGCUGUGCCCUGUAUUUUGUCUUUUUUAACUGAGACGUGCUCAAGUUAUAUGUGCAAUUAUUUAUUUUUUUAUUUAUUUUUUCUGCCCUUGAUGCUUAUUAUGUUGUUUCUUGACUUCAUUCGCUUGGCAUGGUGCAGGUUCGGACAUUUUGUCUUUUUUAACUGAGACGUGCUCAAGUUAUAUGUGCAAUUAUUUAUUUUUUUAUUUAUUUUUUCUGCCCUUGAUGCUUAUUAUGUUGUUUCUUGACUUCAUUCGCUUGGCAUGGUGCAGGUUCGGAC
rnacentral:misc_RNA from 1 species